rnacentral:rRNA from 1 species
UACAGAGGUCCCAAGCGUUGUUCGGAUUCACUGGGCGUAAAGGGUGCGUAGGCGGUUGGGUAAGUCUGACGUGAAAUCUCCAAGCUUAACUUGGAAACUGCGUUGGAUACUAUCCAGCUAGAGGAAUGGAGGGGAGACUGGAAUACUUGGUGUAGCAGUGAAAUGCGUAGAUAUCAAGUGGAACACCAGUGGCGAAGGCGAGUCUCUGGACAUUUCCUGACGCUGAGGCACGAAAGCCAGGGGAGCAAACGGG